GGUUAAGCGACUAAGCGUACACGGUGGAUGCCCUGGCAGUCAGAGGCGAUGAAGGACGUGCUAAUCUGCGAAAAGCGUCGGUAAGGUGAUAUGAACCGUUAUAACCGGCGAUGUCCGAAUGGGGAAACCCAGUGCAAUUCGUUGCACUAUCGUUAACUGAAUACAUAGGUUAACGAGGCGAACCGGGGGAACUGAAACAUCUAAGUACCCCGAGGAAAAGAAAUCAACCGAGAUUCCCCCAGUAGCGGCGAGCGAACGGGGAGCAGCCCAGAGUCUGAAUCAGCUUGUGUGUUAGUGGAACGGUCUGGAAAGUCCGACGGUACAGGGUGAUAGUCCCGUACACCAAAAUGCACAGGCUGUGAACUCGAAGAGUAGGGCGGGACACGUGGUAUCCUGUCUGAAUAUGGGGGGACCAUCCUCCAAGGCUAAAUACUCCUGACUGACCGAUAGUGAACCAGUACCGUGAGGGAAAGGCGAAAAGAACCCCGGCGAGGGGAGUGAAAAAGAACCUGAAACCGUGUACGUACAAGCAGUGGGAGCACCUUCGGGUGUGACUGCGUACCUUUUGUAUAAUGGGUCAGCGACUUAUAUUCUGUAGCAAGGUUAACCGUAUAGGGGAGCCGCAGGGAAACCGAGUCUUAACUGGGCGUUAAGUUGCAGGGUAUAGACCCGAAACCCGGUGAUCUAGCCAUGGGCAGGUUGAAGGUUGGGUAACACUAACUGGAGGACCGAACCGACUAAUGUUGAAAAAUUAGCGGAUGACUUGUGGCUGGGGGUGAAAGGCCAAUCAAACCGGGAGAUAGCUGGUUCUCCCCGAAAGCUAUUUAGGUAGCGCCUCGUGAAUUCAUCUUCGGGGGUAGAGCACUGUUUCGGCUAGGGGGUCAUCCCGACUUACCAACCCGAUGCAAACUACGAAUACCGAAGAAUGUUAUCACGGGAGACACACGGCGGGUGCUAACGUCCGUCGUGAAGAGGGAAACAACCCAGACCGCCAGCUAAGGUCCCAAAGUCAUGGUUAAGUGGGAAACGAUGUGGGAAGGCACAGACAGCCAGGAUGUUGGCUUAGAAGCAGCCAUCAUUUAAAGAAAGCGUAAUAGCUCACUGGUCGAGUCGGCCUGCGCGGAAGAUGUAACGGGGCUAAACCAUGCACCGAAGCUGCGGCAGCGACACUAUGUGUUGUUGGGUAGGGGAGCGUUCUGUAAGCCUGCGAAGGUGACCUGUGAGGGUUGCUGGAGGUAUCAGAAGUGCGAAUGCUGACAUAAGUAACGAUAAAGCGGGUGAAAAGCCCGCUCGCCGGAAGACCAAGGGUUCCUGUCCAACGUUAAUCGGGGCAGGGUGAGUCGACCCCUAAGGCGAGGCCGAAAGGCGUAGUCGAUGGGAAACAGGUUAAUAUUCCUGUACUUGGUGUUACUGCGAAGGGGGGACGGAGAAGGCUAUGUUAGCCGGGCGACGGUUGUCCCGGUUUAAGCAUGUAGGCUGGUUAUCCAGGCAAAUCCGGAUAAUCAAGGCUGAGGUGUGAUGACGAGGCACUACGGUGCUGAAGUAACAAAUGCCCUGCUUCCAGGAAAAGCCUCUAAGCAUCAGGUAACAUCAAAUCGUACCCCAAACCGACACAGGUGGUCAGGUAGAGAAUACCAAGGCGCUUGAGAGAACUCGGGUGAAGGAACUAGGCAAAAUGGUGCCGUAACUUCGGGAGAAGGCACGCUGGUGUGUAGGUGAAGUCCCUGCGGAUGGAGCUGAGACCAGUCGAAGAUACCAGCUGGCUGCAACUGUUUAUUAAAAACACAGCACUGUGCAAACACGAAAGUGGACGUAUACGGUGUGACGCCUGCCCGGUGCCGGAAGGUUAAUUGAUGGGGUUAUCCGUAAGGAGAAGCUCUUGAUCGAAGCCCCGGUAAACGGCGGCCGUAACUAUAACGGUCCUAAGGUAGCGAAAUUCCUUGUCGGGUAAGUUCCGACCUGCACGAAUGGCGUAAUGAUGGCCAGGCUGUCUCCACCCGAGACUCAGUGAAAUUGAACUCGCUGUGAAGAUGCAGUGUACCCGCGGCAAGACGGAAAGACCCCGUGAACCUUUACUAUAGCUUGACACUGAACAUUGAGCCUUGAUGUGUAGGAUAGGUGGGAGGCUUUGAAGCGUGGACGCCAGUCUGCGUGGAGCCAACCUUGAAAUACCACCCUUUAAUGUUUGAUGUUCUAACGUUGGCCCCUGACCGGGGUUGCGGACAGUGUCUGGUGGGUAGUUUGACUGGGGCGGUCUCCUCCCAAAGCGUAACGGAGGAGCACGAAGGUUAGCUAAUCCUGGUCGGACAUCAGGAGGUUAGUGCAAUGGCAUAAGCUAGCUUGACUGCGAGCGUGACGGCGCGAGCAGGUGCGAAAGCAGGUCAUAGUGAUCCGGUGGUUCUGAAUGGAAGGGCCAUCGCUCAACGGAUAAAAGGUACUCCGGGGAUAACAGGCUGAUACCGCCCAAGAGUUCAUAUCGACGGCGGUGUUUGGCACCUCGAUGUCGGCUCAUCACAUCCUGGGGCUGAAGUAGGUCCCAAGGGUAUGGCUGUUCGCCAUUUAAAGUGGUACGCGAGCUGGGUUUAGAACGUCGUGAGACAGUUCGGUCCCUAUCUGCCGUGGGCGCUGGAGAAUUGAGGGGGGCUGCUCCUAGUACGAGAGGACCGGAGUGGACGCAUCACUGGUGUUCGGGUUGUCAUGCCAAUGGCAUUGCCCGGUAGCUAAAUGCGGAAGAGAUAAGUGCUGAAAGCAUCUAAGCACGAAACUUGCCCCGAGAUGAGUUCUCCCUGAGACUUUAAGUCUCCUGAAGGAACGUUGAAGACGACGACGUUGAUAGGCCGGGUGUGUAAGCGCAGCGAUGCGUUGAGCUAACCGGUACUAAUGAACCGUGAGGCUUAACCUU
rnacentral:rRNA from 2 species